CCCUUAGAUGUUCUGGGCCGCACGCGCGCUACACUGAUGCAUUCAACGAGUUUCUUCCUGGUCCGAGAGGAAUGGGUAACCUUUUGAAAGUGCAUCGUGAUAGGGAUAGACUAUUGCAAUUAUUGGUCUUCAACGAGGAAUUCCUAGUAGACGUAGUUCAUCAGACUGCAUCGAUUACGUCCCUGCCCUUUGUACACACCGCCCGUCGCUCCUACCGAUUGAGUGGUCCGGUGAGGCUUUGGGAUCUAAGCGAAAAGAGCGUUUCGCUCCUUUUGCUGGGAGAACUCAGUCGAACCUUAUCAUUUAGAGGAAGGAGAAGUCGUAACA
rnacentral:rRNA from 1 species